UGGAAAAGUAUCCUCGGCAGGAUUGAAAGACUGUGUUACUGAAGAGCCUUCUUGCUGUGAUCAGUGAAGGAUGGUGCAGGUGUCUGUCGUUUCACUGACCAGGAAUCUGUGCUUUUUCCUACACCUGUUGGUGGCUUCAUGCUCCUGACAGUACGAAUUGGCAGCACGUGUAUUGGAAUGAACUUCGUUCCCUGGGCGCGUGGUACAUGGUGAAACCGGAGGAACAAGCUGAAGGGCAAGAAAGUUGACAUGCUUUGCGUUCUUCACCACAGUGCUUUGCCGACACAUCAUCAUAAAGUCAAAGUGUUCAUUUGUAGCGGAAAGGAAGGCUUUACAUGUGGUGGAACUGCGCGGCUUCAAAUUUAUAUUGCAUUUUAUGGAUUAAAAAAAAAACAUAUUUUUUAAUUGUAAGGUGUAACUGGUUGUUUUUG